rnacentral:rRNA from 1 species
UACGAAGGGGGCGAGCGUUGUUCGGAUUUACUGGGCGUAAAGCGCGCGCAGGCGGUCCUUUAAGUCUGAUGUGAAAGCCCACGGCUCAACCGUGGAGGGUCAUUGGAAACUGGGGGACUUGAGUGCAGAAGAGGAAAGCGGAAUUCCACGUGUAGCGGUGAAAUGCGUAGAGAUGUGGAGGAACACCAGUGGCGAAGGCGGCUUUCUGGUCUGUAACUGACGCUGGAGGCGCGAAAGCGUGGGGAGCAAACAGG